rnacentral:rRNA from 1 species
AUUGAACGCUGGCGGCAGGCCUAAUACAUGCAAGUCGAGCGGAGCUGGGGACGGGUGGGUAAGGCCGAGGAAGCUGCCUGGGAGUGGGGGAUAACGUCCGGAAGGGGGCGCUAAGACAGCAGACGAGCAGAUGAGCCUAGGGUGGAGUAGCUAGUUGGUGGGGUAAAGGCUUACCAAGGCGGCGAGCCGUAACUGGUCUGAGAGGAUGAUCAGUCACACUGGAACUGAGACACGGUCCAGACUCCUACGGGAGGCAGCAGUGGGGAAUCUUGGACAAUGGGCGAAAGCCUGACACAGCCAUGCCGCGUGUGUGAAGAAGGUCUUCGGAUCGUAAAACUCUGUAAGUUGGGAGGCGGUACCUACAGAGUAAGCACCGGCUAACUUCGUGCCAGCAGCCGCGGUAAUUC